UUUAAAGUCUAAUCUGCCCCCUGAAAUUAUUUUAAAGGGCUGCGGUAUUUUAACCGUACAAAGGUAGCAUAAUAAUUAGGUUUUUGAUUGAAAUCUAGAAUGAAUGAUUGGACGAGAUACAAGCUGUUUUAUAAUAAUUAAUUAAAACUUAAUUUUUUAGUCAAAAAGCUAAAAUUUUAUUAAAAGACGAGAAGACCCUAUAAAUCUUUAUAAUAAAUUUAUUUUAAUAAAUUAUUUUAUUUAAAUUAAUAGUUUUAAUAUUAAAUUAUUUUAUUGGGGUGAUACAAAAAUUUAAUUAACUUUUUUAUUAUUAUUUCUUAAAUUAAAGAUUUAUAAAAAUAUGAUCUAUUAUUAAUAAUUCAGAGAAUAAGAUACUUUAGGGAUAACAGCGUAAUUUUAAUUUUAAGUUCUUAUUAAAAUUAAAGAUUGCGACCUCGAUGUUGGAUUAAAAUUUAAUUUAAAUGCAAAGGUUUAAAAAUUAAGUCUGUUCGACUUUU
rnacentral:rRNA from 1 species